rnacentral:piRNA from 1 species
UGUAGAAAUGAUACUCACUGGCGAA